rnacentral:rRNA from 1 species
CCUACGGGCGGCAGCAGUGGGGAAUAUUGGGCAAUGGAGGCAACUCUGACCCAGCAACGCCGCGUGAAUGAUGACGGUCUUCGGAUUGUAAAGUUCUUUUCUAAGGGAAGAAGAAAGUGACGGUACCUGAGGAAUAAGACUCCGCUCACUACGUGCCAGCAGCCGCGGUAAUACGUAGGAGGCAAGCGUUAUCCGGAAUGACUGGGCGUAAAGGGUGCGGAGGUGGUUUGACAAGUUAGUAGCGAAACUCCGGGGCUCAACUUCGGAACUACUACUAAAACUGUUGGACUUGAGUGAAGGAGGGGCAAGCGGAAUUCCGAGUGUAGCGGUGGAAUGCGUAGAUAUUAGGAGGAACACCAGUGGCGAAGGCGGAUUGCUAGACUGUAACUGACACUGAGGCACGAAAGCGUGGGGAGCAAACAGGAUUAGAUACCCCAGUAGUC